GUGUGCACCGGACAGUGUCCGGUGCGCCAACGGCUCCAAGGAGCCAACGGUCGGCUUCGCCAAAUAAGGAAAGAGAUCCGCACCGGACAGUGUCCGGUGGUGCACCGGACUGUCCGGUGCGCCAGUCGACAGAAGGCAAGAAAUGCCUUCCUGGAAUGCACUCAACGGCUCCUAGCUGCCUUGGGGCUAUAAAAGGGACCCCUAGGCGCAUGGAGGAGUACACCAAGCAUUCUCAAAGCAUUCCUAAGCACUAAGACAUCGAUUUCGCGCUUUUUGCGAUAGCAAUUAGAGCUCUAGUUGAGUUGUGAACUCAUUGAGUCGUGUUGUGAGCUCUUGUUGCGACUUGUGUGCGUGGUGUUGCUGUGAUUUCUUGUCUUGAGUGUGUUGCUCAUCCCUCCCUUACUCCGUGCUUCUUUGUGAAUUUCAAGUGUAAGGGCGAGAGGCUCCAAAGUGUGGAGAUUCCUCGCAAACGGGAUAUAGUAAAGCAAGCAAAACACUGUGGUAUUCAAGUGGGUCUUUGGACCGCUUGAGAGGGGUUGAUUGCAACCCUCGUCCGUUGGGACGCCACAAUGUGGAGUAGGCAAGCGUGGUCUUGGCCGAACCACGGG
rnacentral:lncRNA from 7 species